UACGUAGGGUGCAAGCGUUAAUCGGAAUUACUGGGCGUAAAGCGUGCGCAGGCGGUUAUGCAAGACAGAUGUGAAAUCCCCGGGCUCAACCUGGGAACUGCAUUUGUGACUGCAUAGCUAGAGUACGGUAGAGGGGGAUGGAAUUCCGCGUGUAGCAGUGAAAUGCGUAGAUAUGCGGAGGAACACCGAUGGCGAAGGCAGCCCCCUGGGUCAAAACUGACGCUCAUGCACGAAAGCGUGGGGAGCAAACAGG
rnacentral:rRNA from 1 species